UUAAUAUUGCUUAUUAGUUGGAGAGUGAAUUUCUUAAUUUGUUGUAUUUUUAUUUUUGAGCUAUUACUUUAUCUUUUACGUUUCAUUUACUUUUAUUUGCAAUCUUCUUUUUCUUUUUCUUUUUUUUUUCCUUUCCUUUCGUAUUCAUAUAAUUGUUAUAUAUAUUUUUUUUAUCAUGGCUAAGGUUGAAGAUGUAGAGGGUGAAGGGAGUGUUCAAGGUAAUGGACCUCCACAAUUUAAUGAUCAACCUAAUUUUCAAACUCUUAAGGAGUAUCUUCACCCGGC
rnacentral:lncRNA from 1 species